UAAAUGAAAAAAAAAACAGUCAAAUAGCGAGCGACGAUUGCGACCGCCAGACACUAUCCCUGUACUUGUAUUUAAAAUGAUUUUAAUAUACACUAUUACAAUUUUAUCACUCGUCUGUUUAAUAAACCAACACGUAUUAUUGAGAUAUGUGUAACUUUGUGUGCUACACGAUAUUAACCGCAUAGUAGUGACAUACAUAUAUGAAUAUGAGUGUGUGUGGGAGUACGUGCGUGCGCAGCGUGUGGUAAAACAGAAGAAUGCAACUGUUGCGUACGCAUGGUGAUGAAAAAGAUGGCGAGAGAAAAAGAGUGAUGAGAUGCGUGCAAUGUGUAUCUACGAACAUCUUGUAAAUCACAUACUGGAUAAAUCUGAAACUAUUUUAAUAUCAUUUCUACAUGUAACGUAAGUGUUCCUAUACAUUUAUUUCGGCGACUAAGAUCCACAAUUCUCAACAGAUUGGCCGGCUUUUGCCAAACCGCGACGCAAGGUUUGCGGUUAUAGUAAUAAACGAGCCGUAUUUAAUGAAACUGAGAAGAUCGGAGGACGAAGAGUAUAUUGGAACAGUAGCAAAGCACUAUCCUCCUCUUUCCUCGGUUCUCCUGCCUCUCGAAAUCGAAUCCCAUCAGCGUCACCGCGCAAGUGGCUUCACUUCAAAAUUCAAUGAUCUUCUCCAGCUUUCCGAGCACGAGCCACCGCGGACAGAAUCACCGUCCAGAUAUAUCAACCCCGGGUCGCUCCUUUCUCCGUUCCUCCAUUCUAUUAUCGGCAGAGAAUGUACGCGUUGUUCGGGAGGAAUGAUAACUCGCGCCGGAACAACCGACGAGAAUUCUUUCUCAAGAGUCCUUGCUCUUCUCCGGCAGUUUGAUAUCGAAAUUAGAAUUUUUUCCAUUUUCUUCGGGAUUAAAUUUGAAAUUUAUAAAUUUGAAUUUUAAAAUAGAAUUUGCUCGAUUGUAUCUUUCGCUUUUAAUCGAUUCUUCAAGUACCAGCAGUAUUUUUAUAAAUCGUCCCCUCCAAACGGAAGAAAGCAGCAAAAUUAAAUACGACAGCGUUAGUAAUAGAGUAAUAAAAUAUAUAUUGGUUAAGUAAAAAUAGUUAAUGAAUAAGAAUAUUAGACGAAUGGAUAUUAUAAUUUUCGAAUGAAAUUUGAUGAGCGAUUUCCCUGUCUCGAACUUGGUUCAAAUCUGGUUAAUCUCUUCGACUGAAUAUUCAUAACAAAAUUGAUGAAUAUUGAUCGAUGUGAUGAAAUAUAGGGAAUAUUUCCGGAAGCGUGUAAAUUGGUAUAAAACUAAGGUAGCAAAAAAGUAUACAAAAUUAUCAGAAAGAUGCAAAACUACGUUUCAUAGAAAAAAAAUAUGGGGAAACUACGUUCCAUAGGACAAAUGCAUAAAACUACAUGUUAGUGGCAGAAAUAGCAGAAUAGAUAUUAUUAAAAAAUAUUAAUAAUUAUUGUUGCAUAUUAUGUUCUCUAACUCAUGAUUAUUGUAAAAUAUGUAAUAUAUAUUAGAAUAUUUUCCUACUGUAUGAAGCACAUGUUAUACAUUUUUAAUUAUUAAAAACUUACUAAUUACUCGGUGGUAUUUUCAGUGAAAUCUAUAGUGAGUCUACGAACCACAUUUCUUACCUAAUUUCUACAGACAUACUAACACGUAUUACAUUGUCGUUAUCAUUAUAUAUAACUAUAAAAUGUCUCAUUGUAAGAUACCCUGUGUCUUUGUCUCUCACAACGUCACCAAGGUUAAAUACGUGCAGCAAUAUCAUCAAUCAAUGUCACAAAAUACGUACUGGUACGUGCCCUCGUAUCUCGUUUCUUUCCUACAAAACUUUAAUCACAUGCUGGUUUCUUCAUUUGUUUUUUCUCGGCAUCUUUAAAAUUCCACAAUUCCAAGAAACAUGUUACUACAAAAACCGCUACACUAUUAUAUAUAUAUUUACAAUAUCAAUAUAUUACAAUAGUAUAUAUAUAUAUAUAUUUCUAUCAAACUACAAGAACCAUUAUACAUUUCAUAACUAUAAAACCACUCAGUAGCAUUCAAUUUUGGUAUGUUGUAUUGCAUAUUUUUGUACGUUAAACAAUUUGUUCUUUCUUCUUCCCCAAGAGGAACAGAUUGUAUUGCUUCGAAAAAAGAAAAAGGUUGGAAGGUUAGUUCGUUCUUCCUUCACAACUAUAUUUAGUUGGCAACUACGUAACAUAACCACAACCUAACCCUAACUAACUUAGUUGCCAACCUAAUACAGCGUAACAGAAUAUUUUAUUACACAAAAACGAAAAUUGCAAUCGGAUGUAAUCAGAUUUUGUUGCAUCGUAUCUCGUACUUAAGAACUAAUUUUAGUAUAGUUUAAUAGUUACGAGUAGACCGUGGAUUUUCAUGCAUCUGCAGGAAAUCUGAAAGUGGAAAAUUGCACAGGAUAUGAGACAAUAUAUCAAAUAUUCAAAAUAUAGUGCCUUCUAUAAUACUCGACAGCUAAAACAAUUUUUCUACCGAGAUUCUACUUUUCUAAUUAUACUCACAAUAAAUAUGAAUAUGCAUAAAAAUUCGCAUUUAGAGACGCAACGCUAUCACAGACGGCCCGUAUCGUCUUAAUGACUAUCGUGUGAGAAAAUAACUUGUAAUAAGAAAUCGUGGACUGUUUUAUCAACCGUGUAUCUGCACUAUAUCUCAUCAUCUCUAUUCUUCUCGAACCGUGACAGAGUCUAUUACGUUUCAUUACUUAUGGUGGAAUCGAGGCGAUUCGUUACGACAGAGGCGACAUCUCGAUUCUUGACUGCGAACGGCCAUGAAAAAUUAGCAAACGGACAGUAGGAGCGUAAUUUUCCGGCCGUCUGAUUUUCCAAGCCGAGAAUUCACCGGCAACGUAAUGCGAUACGAAGUUGAGGCGUUGCAGGCGCAAAUGAAAUUACGAGUUGCCGGCCCCCAGGUAUCGAACUUCCGGCUGUAAAGGGGCCGAGAAAACUUGCCCUGGCCGAUUAGUUCGGCGAAGUUAGCUCGUUGCAUAUUACGCGCGAUAAAAACUUGCUUUAACGAACCUCGAAUAUACGAUGCUCGGUUAUUACGUAUUUCUGGCUGUUCUGAUGAUAGUUGCAAACUGGCCGAAUAUAAUUCCUUUGUUCCUUCGUGAUUACGUGGUUUAUGAAACUAUUAAUUUAAUAUCCAGCUGGUACAUUGAUGAAUUCCUUUUAGUAGCUUGCGUUUUGUUUCGAAGUUCAAAAACGUGGAAAGUUAAAAUUGAAUUCGAAGACUUGAAUUUGACAAUUCGAAGAAAGUAUGAAAAAAUUUCGAUUUCAAUUUUAUUCGGAUAGAAAUUUGUUACGAAGAUUAUAUUUAAAUUCGAAGAUCCAAAUUCGCACGUGAAAACUGGAAUUUGUAUCUAAUAAUGACAAAUCUCAAUUUCAAGACUUGGGUUUGCAGAUCAAUUUAUUAUAUGAAUUUACAUUUAAAUUUGAGAACUUGAAUUUGAGUCUGAACAUUUGAAUUUGUAUUUAGAAAUUUAAACUUAUAUUUGGAAACUUGAAUUUCAGCCAGAGUUUGAAUUUGGUGUCUGAUAACCUCGUGUUCAUCAAGCAUUCUGGCAUAUGUGUACAGUUUGCAGGACUUGAUUAGUCCGACAGUGUGUUACAGAAGGCUCGUGUAAUUCUCGUCACAAAUUCCUCCAGACGAUUCAGCCUUUCAACUUGCCCCUAACAAGGAGCCAAACGAUAUUUUAUGACCAUCCACUUUUCCUCUAUCUUCAUAUUUACCUAUAAAAUAUGAUUUUAAACUUCUUCCUACGUUUAUCCACUUACCUAUCCUAUCUAUCUUUCUCACCUAACCUCAUUAACCUAUUUUUUAAACAAACUUUUCUUCCUCCUCAAAUCAAACAUCAACAUCAACAGUAUACCAUCCCAUUUGAAAAAUUAGAAUACGAAAACAAAUUUCAUGCGAGAGCUAGCAACGCGUCGUGCAUCCGGCAGCUCAAGUUUCCCAUUUCCAAGAGAAACAUUCGAGAACUGUAUCGAUAAGCAGAAAACAAAGGAUAAGAGGUUCAGUGAAAAGAAAGCAAAAGAAGCAAGGGCUGGCGUUUUUGAGGAACCUACUUUUCCCGUGCCAAGACAAAGAUUCACGGCUGUAGUGGGAGAAGAGGAGAGGCAAUUUCUUCUAAAAGGCUGUUAUCCGGCGGCUUCGAUUCCUUUCGAGGCUAGACACGGCCCGGAUACAAGUUUCAACGGCGCAAAAUGGCUGGCGACGGUCUCGCGAGCGGAACACGAGUCUUAGCUCGCGAACUCAGCACUUUGCCACAAGAACCUAUCUCCACCAACCGCUCUCACCAACGUCCAAUUAAAUGUACGAAGAUUACCGCAGCCGCUAACUUUGAGUGCUCCACGAAUCGUUUCUCUUCCUUUCGAUCCAGAGUUCGGUUCUGUUUUCAGCGAACAAAUAUAUUGGGUUGGACAGACAGAUCUUUGCGUUUUAGGUUAUGUGAUAACAGACAGUUUUCGUUGAUGUUAAAUUUUGUUAAACUUCGAAAGAGAUACGUCGCACUUCUUCAAAGAUUCCGUUGACUUGUAUAUAGCUAUGUACUUGAUAAUAUAUAUAUUGUAUAUUGUAGAUAAAAGUAUAGUGGGAGCAAAAGUAUUAACACACUGUUGUAUUUAUUAUAGCAUUUACAUACUAAUUGCUUAGAUCGUAAGAGAUUGUAUUUACCUUGAGGUGUGCUAUUAUUUAUGGCACCUUCUUGCGACAAAUGAAAAUUGGUCGUUUGUCCUUUUCUUUCCUUCUUCUUUUCUUCUUUUGGGGAGGGGAGGGGGUCGAACGUUAAUGAUACAACCAGUUAAUAAAAACCAAUUUUCAUUUGUCGCAAGAAGGUGGCAUAAAUAAUAGCAAACCUCGAGGUAAAUUUAAUCUCUUACGAUCUAAUCAAUUAGUAUGCAAAAUGCUACAAUAAAUAUGUGGCGGCACUCGGCAACAAUGUAUAUCGCCGAAGCGAAAUGCCUAAUGAGCCAUCAAAUCCCAACGGUCUUCCGCCGAAUAUUCGAGAAGGCGCGCGUGCCAAUGGUCGCGGACGCCCAACAAACGCGUGAAUAGUGGGGAUAUUGAGGGGCGACAAAAAGAAAAGAAUCGAAUCCGAUCGACAGUUUUAGCUCGAACGAGGAAGCGAUAAGGUCGAAGUAUAACCGCGCAGCGAGAUUGACUAGCGAAACCGAGAGCGAUACGCGACGCGAUCAAAAGAAGACACUUGUUAAUAAAUAUAUUGUUGACCUAAACACCGAGUGAUUAUUUAACGCACUACACCCAAUAUCACCUCAAAUACAACAAUGUGUUAAUACUUUUGCUGCCACUAUGAGAAACUGAAAAGUUGAAAAAAGUGAAGCUGGCCAAUUCGUUUCAGAGAAUCUGUUUGCAAUCAUUUCGACUAAUGAACCACUAUGUUUUCGUCUAUUUCAGCAAAACUAGAGGAGAAAAAACGAGUUGAGGAAAUAGGUACAGGUGAAACAAUUAAUUCGUCGCUAGAGUAAUCAACGAAUGACCAGCGGGUUAGCAUUCAAUUUAAUUGAAACUAGAAGUUAGGGGAGGAAAAUUUCUAUGCAACGACCACGGAAUAAUACAUCGUCAACGUUCAAUUAAAUUCGCUGGCUGUUUCUUCGCAAUUCGUGGCUCGCCUUUAUAAUUCACUUGGCGAAUUCUCCAUGCCGUGGGAUAUGAAUCGCAGCAAAUAGUCCGUACAAUUUUCGGUGCAUAGUUCCCUGGAGGCGGCGAAUAAAUUUCCCCGCGUUUCCCAGACGUUUCGCGUUUCGUGUAUCGUAUGUAUAUCCUUCCGUUGCGUGAUGUACAUAUCGCGAAUGUUUGCUCGAAACGUCAUAGAAGUUGACGCAUGUCGUACAGUUCGACGUUGCCGUGAAGGAAAGGGUUGGCAACUGCAAGAGGGUAGAAAUUUUAUUUCUUACCUAUCUCUCGUACGAUGGAAAGCUACACUCUGCAGAAAGGUUCGUAAAUGAAUAAACAUAUGCGUGAAUAUGUCAAAAAGUAGAUAAUAAAUAUAUAUAACUGGUUAUUACGGGAAACUUAUUUUUACUUUUAAUUUAAAUCGUCUAUCUUCUAGAAUUUUAUUUAUUGUUUAUUGUUUAUUUAUUGAUUAAGUGAACUCAAGGAACCCUCUUGAACGAUGGAAUGCAAUGGAACAAAAUCUUGAACUAUUAUUAGUACAAUUUGAAUUAUAUUGGGUUGGCAAUUAAAUGAUUGCGGAUUUUGCCAUUGCCACAUAAUGGCAAAAUCCGCAAUCACUUAGUUGCCAACACAAUAGUUUGUUGAAAAAUUAUCAAAUUCUAAGAGGUCUAUGACUCGUAACUUGUUUGAAUCUGCCAUGAUGGUUGCGUGAAUAUCUCAUCGUAGUUUAUGAAACAUCGGCUUACAAAGCAAUAUAUAACACGAUUGAUAACUCGAAGGUCAACUACGAUGAACUUGUAACUUGUAAAUUUAUUAAUUUUAUUAAUUGAUUAAACACAUGAUGAAAAAAUUGCUGACGAAUCUAUUCAUCUGAACGUAAAUUCCUACUGCAUAAAAUCAUACCUAACUAUUAGCUCCCAAAAAUGUCUUUCGUUAUCUGUAGGCAACUGCUUUAUCUGGCUAUGUUGAUACAAACAUGAAACCUAAUCUGUCAAAUGUUGUGGUCUUUAUCUUCGAUCGUCCUCUAGCUGUCGUAGGACACGUUUCGUUCGCAUCAAAACAAAAAACGUUGUGCAUCUAUUAUUUUCUUCUAAAACGAAAGAAACUUUUAGGUUAACCUAUAAUAGAAAGAAUCAGCGAACUCUUAUUACGUGAACUGUUCGUUCCGCGAGAAGUUGAGAUAAAUUACUGUCUACUUUCUACAUUACGUACAAUGUAUGAGGAUGAGUGAUGAAAGAUGAGUGGAGAAAAGAAAGAGUAAAAUUUGUUCGUUUAUGAGGCUUUAUUCUGGAGAAAAUCGAGUUUGGAAAUUUAUCGAGUACACGUGCACUCUGCACUCACCUAACUGCUGGUUGAACGUGUUCGUCGAGCUCGUGGAUGGAGCGUCAACGACUCCAAUUUCAGACAUUAUUUUAGGAAAAACGAGGCGUACGAUGAAAAAAUAUUAUUCUACAUUUUUUACUUAUCUCGCCUUAUUACCACAGUAUCGGCCUUUAUUCGACUAUAAGCUAGUCAAGUGCACGUAUACUCGACAUAUUUUUAAACCUAAUUCUCUCUGAAAUGAAGUUUCAAAAGAAAAUACCCUAGUUUAUAUUUUCCACUUAUUUUCGCUUCUAAAACAAUGUUCUGUUUAACUAUCGUCUGUGAGACGACAACCUUUCGUCUGAAAUUGCGAACAAAAUGGCUACCGCGCUCAGUGGCUUCUUAUUUACGUUCGAGAAAUACGCACUGCGUUCGUUGUUUGACAAGCUAUCGUGUUGCACAGUCUGUGUGACUAAUUUACAGGUUACGUGAUAAUAAAAUAUAGUAAAUGAUAUGAAAGUAAAGUCAAAGACAAGUAAUAAGUAAGGAUUGGGUUGGCAACUAAGUUAUUGCAGAUUUUGUCAUUAGAUGGUAUUGACAAAACCCGCAAUCACUUAGUUGUCAAUUCAAUAAUUUUAUAUUAUGCGUGCUUUUUUCUUCUUGUUACUUAUUGUUUUAUUAUUUAUUAUUAAAUGACUGGCGUAUUCAUAACUCGUUUGUACAAUAUAUUGCAAUAUGCCAAUUUUUAUUUUAUCCAUCAAAACGAUGUAAGAUGACUAAACACUUCUGAAAAUACUGCGAUAAAGCUGUUUGUAGCGAGCAGACUGUUGCAGUUCGUAGCAACAUAAUUGACAGGAUGUGAGGUCAUUUGAAUGCCUAAAAUACACGUACAAAGUUAAGAAAAAUAACAGAUAAGUAAAAUAUAUGAAACACGUUAAAUUGAAUUGUUCUAAAAACGAGGCUAUAAAAGAAUAAUCUUUAUUCGACAUUUCUCACUUACGUAUAAACAUAGAGCAACUUUUUCUCUGCAAACACCAAUUUUUUCACUUGCGUUGUAUAUUUUUUUAUAUUACUAUUAUUCGUAAUUCUUUCCUGCAAGUUUCAUAAUUUAAUCGUCCCUAGAUAUAAAAAUUUGUAAAAGGUUAUGAUUGUCACGUGCAUAUAACAGAAAUUGGCAAACGCUUUCGGACAAUACGAUUUUAAGAGGAAAAAGAAAAUUUAUAGCGUAGGUUUGCCUGCAAUUGGUUAAGUGUUUUACUUGAGAUAUCUCGAGAGAGAGGAUUCCUAGAAAUUGGCCGGCUCGACUAAAUAUUGAAAUAGGUUUCGUAAGCGGUUCUCUUCUGUUCGUUUAAAGGAAACGUGGUGUUGCGACACCUACAACUUUCUAGCUGAUCCCAGGCGAAUUAGUCCUUGCAUGUAACGCAACUAGUUUACAGUGACUGUAAGCGUUACAGUAAAUCGAUAUCAGGAUAAAUUUUUCAGACACCUGCACACAGGAAACGGACAAAAGAUGAAAAUCGAUUUUCAACGAUAGAUUCAGUCUAUAAGAACCAACUAUCUUUUCAACACAGGACACUAUUCUUAUAUUGGGUUGGCAAGUGAUCGCGGAUUGUGUCAUUACCACCUAAUGUUACUUAAUUGCCUAUAAAAUCGCUGUAUCUGCAAACUUUGUGACAAAUGAGCCAUUUAAAAUUGUUUCUUAACACGAUGAAAACCCAAUUUUUCGCCAAUUCGAUAAAUUAUCAGGAAUAGAACUAUUGAGAUAUGUGUAAUUUUGUGUGCUACACUGGAUUAGCCGCGUGGUAGUUACACACAUAUAUAAGUAUGAGUGUGUGAAGUAUGUGCGUGCGCAGCGUAUGGUAAAACAGAAGAAUGCAACUGUUGCGUACGCAUGGUGAUGAAAAGAUGGCGGGACAAAGAGAAUGCUGAGACGCGUGCAAUGUUUACAUACGAAUAUUUUGUAAAUCACAUAUUAAAUAAAUCUGAAACUAUUUUGAUAUCAAUUCUAAGUGUAAUUACAAUAAAACCAGUGCACGAAUAUUCGGACUAUUUGACGUUUCGACGUACUCGAUAAAAACGUCAAUAUAUUCAGAUACAGUGGCUGCAGAAAUUAUCGAUGCGUAGCCUUAUCUUGCAGCGAAACGUCCCUUUAUCAGAGACUUUUAUAGCGGUAAAUUAAUCAUAUGAAAGUAUUACACCGAAUCGUGCGAGAUAUAUUUCGCUCUAAUUAAUUAGCAUGUAUAGCAUAGACGUUGCAGUUGUCACGUAGGAGACAAGAAAUCCAGUGGUUCCAGGAUUUUGGAGAUAGUCCAAACUUCCGGGUGGAGCCUGUAGAAUUUUAAUUACGCCGGUGGCCAGGCCCAGACAACAAAAGGCAGCCGCGUAUUCGGUACACAAGGUUUGCCCUUUUUCUCGCCAUUCUACUCGCGUCUCUCCACCCCCCCUCGGCUAUUCUAUUCGGCCGCCAAAUAGGUCAGCCAUCUUGCUAUUCUGUUUUCUUCCCCAUUCACGUUGUCGCGGCUUCGAGAAUUAGCCGAAUUUCCUAUUCGCUCGGACGAUUCGUUCGUGAAUCAGCCACUUACACGAAAAUCUUCCAAACUUUCAUUUGCUUCUUGAGUUUGCAAAUUUAAAUGGAAGGUAAUUGCAAAGUUAAAUGGAAGAAAGAAAUAUUAAACGAAGCAAGCUUGAUCAAUUUAUUCAAACAAGAUUUCAUUAAUGGAAAUAUAUGCUGUUGAAACUGUAACGUUUCCCAAUAACACAGUCAUGGGUUCACUUCUACUAGAACUUGCGGAUCUUCGUUACUCGUGUUUCUUCAACAGUCUAUUAACAUUACGUAUGAUUUUUGAUAUUCACUUGAGUUGACAAACCUCUGACCAGUGAAUCUAAUUAUCUGAACCUAUACUUCUAUUACGUGAAUUGUAAGUAGUGGAGAAGGUAGAGCAGCAUUCCUAUUGUAUCAAUUCUAAUUACGUGAAUUCUUUGAUAAGUUCGCACACAGUGAGAGCCAACGAGCGAGUAUACACUUCACAAACAUUUUUUAUAUUCCUAUUUUAUGUCUUUUCAAUUAAUUUUUAAUUUAUGUAGCAUACAUAUGCAGAGUAGGACCUACUCUACGGAUAACGUUCCACUAUUCGGACACUUUUCACGUGGAAAAAGCUUAAUCCUCUGCAAGAAUGUUUGUUAACAAUCAACGAAGCUACCAGCGAAAAGACGAUACAGCUUCACGAACAAUUAAAAGGAUUAGCUGUUGUACUGCUGUUAUAUGUGUUAAAUGCGAUACUAGGAAGAUCGAGGACACCAUAUUUAUUAUAUUACAACAGAUUUAGAAGAAACUGCUUUUCCAUACAAUACCAGAAUUCGAUGAUCUUGAUAAUGUCGACGCAAUAGAACGCUUUUAAUGUGAUGAAUCUUCUUCUUCAGUGGACGUCUUCUUCACAUGAUGUUAAUGUCACGUAUGCUUCGAAUAAUGAAUUGAAACAUGAAUAUAAAUAAUAGCAAUGAUGAUAUGCCUGAAUAUUUCAAAGCACUUAAUAGCUUAACAAAAUAAAGAUGGUAGGAGGUCCAAAAGGAAUGUAAUUUUAUGGGAUUAAAUCUACUAAAACGUGAUUUAGUAGGUCGUUUGGUGGAGAAACGCGACGGAAGGGAAUUGGCGUAGCUGCUGAUCGCACAGUUUCUCGGUUACAUUGGUGUAACCGGUUCUCCACGACUUCUCGUCGAGUGUCUUUGUGUCGUCGAGGAAUCCGUGCCGUUCGAGCGAUUUUUAUUAAACGACGCGGCUCACAGAGUACAUUGUUUGUCGCGAGCAACGCCACUUCAUCGCCUCUUGUGGGAACAGCCAACCCCGAGCCACCGUAGAAUCUCGCAAUUGCUGACUGACGAUUUAGAGCCCGACCGAUUAAAACGGACUGAGAAAAGGAAAUUUAUUUGGUAAGAAAGAAGGUUUUUUCGUUUUUGUGUUUGGAAGAAUGGCGCUUUUUUGGCAACUGUGUGCUACAGAGGCGGGCAGAUCUCUCCACGUGUGGCGUAUAUAUUGGCUUCCUUUAGUUUAGGAUUUCCUAAACUGCACCUUGUUCGAUGCAUAUAAAAUAUACUGUACCUAUCUGCCAGGAAAUAAAACAAGAUACAACAAAUUUCUAUUGGAAGUAGCUAGAGAAUGGACAACUGUGGAUUCUAAAGAAUGCAGCAUUGCACCUGACACUUCUCAAAUUUCUAAAACAGCUCCUUAUUAUAAUGAUGCAUCCUUCACUGAUUCCUUCACUAAAAAAUAGUCACUGGUAGAAAAACAAAUCCAACUAGAGCGUGUAGACUAUGCUGUUCAAAAGGAAAACGCAGAAACUAAAUAUAUUUGCAAAAGUUGUUGUGUACCAUUACACGUAGGUGAUUGUUACACUGUUUAUCACAGGAGAAAGAAAUAUUAGAAGUCGAAUAACAAAUAGAAUUUAUUAAAGUUUAUUUAUACUGUUUUACUUGCACAUCCAAUUACCAAAUAAUAGCCGGUGACAUGAGAUAAAUUCUCAGUAAAAUUGUCAGUCAACAAUGUGUUAACAGCGCUUUUUUAAAGUUUCUAACUCCGCAAGUAUUUUGAAUAGAUUACACGCGUUUAAUGAUAUUAUAUAAUGUUUCUAAAUAUUAUUAUAGCGUGGAAAUGCGAUGAAAAGAAAUUGCUUGAGGCUGUACAGGUAAAUUUUAUCGACUGCAAACUAAAGUACCGUCUGAUAUUAUUAAUAUUGACAACCUAUUUAUCGAUAUAUAAUAUAUACAUAUAAUAUUAAUUAUAUGCAAUAUCCGAUGGAAUACCCGUGAAAGUUUAUUUACGCUAUGUCAUAUUAAAAAGGCAAUUUUCAAACGGUAUUUAUUUCCAUAUCGUCUAUGCUUUAUAGGAAUUAUUAUGAAAAUUCUUUUUCAUAUUUCCUGCUUUUUAAUUCUCCUUUCAUAUUCCACUUGAUAUCGCUUGGAUAUUGUAAAACACACGUACAAAAUGUGUAUAACCGAAGAACGAAUUUUGUAUUAUGUUUGUCCGUGAACUCUUCCCACUCCUUUAUGUCAUAAAUUACAUGUUAUAUAUUCUAAUCAUAUGUGUAGUUUGAACAAUGCAUAUAUAUUCAGUGUAACUGUAUCCAUUGACCAUGAAUAUAUUCAUUCAAAUAUAAACGCACAUACAUUAGAAUUCCACAGAAAUUGUUGAGUAAUUAGAAUAAUAUAUGCAUAUUCGUAACAACAUUUUGAUAAAAGUAUUGGGUUGACAACCAAGUGAUUGCGGAUUUUGUCAAUACCACCUAAUGACAAAAUCCGCAAUCACUUAGUUGCUCAAUAAUAAUCCAUAUGAAUGGAAUGAAUUCCAUGGCAUAAAUUCCAUUUGAGAAUUGCCUUUUUAAUAUGAAAUAGCGUAAAUAAGCUUUCACAGGUAUUCCAUCAAUAUUACAUAUAAUUAAUAUUAUAUAUAUAUUAUAUAUCAAUAAAUAUCCAAUAGUACUCUAAAGUACGUUCAGGACGUGAAGGAUUAAAUGAAGCUUACGCAGCUUGCAAAUGAUUUUAACGGAAAUAUUCAAAAGCUUAGCAACUUCCAAAUCAAAUACUCGUAAAAACCCUAACCUCGUUUCAUCCUCUUUUAAACGUCAAAUUAAACCGAAAACGAGACGUUUCCCUUACCCUGCAAUCUGUUUCUCACCAUCAAACCUCAUAGUUCCCCCUCAAACACAUUUUAAAAUCGCUCGUUCAGCACCCUUAUCUUCCUUCCCAAUCUCUUUCUCCUUUUAUUCGUCUGCAGGAAGAAAGAGAGAGGGAGGGAGGGAGGGAGGGAGGGAGGAAGGGAAGGAGGGGGGGAGGGAGGGGGAGAGAGAGAGAGAGAGAACGAUUCCCUAAUUUCACCCAAUUUUCUCCAAUUUUUCCCAAGGUAACUCUGGAAUCAGCCGAAGCAGAAAAGCGUGGCGUGCACCAACCCGAGCCAGCUUUUAUAUUUCCUCCACGUUAGAUUGCGUUCCUCGACGUACGUAUGUAGGUCGUCGCGUUUCUUCCUGGCGUUCCAGCUUCAGAAAUUUGCGUUUAAGUCCCGUGGAAUCGACUUUCGACAGCCGCUCCCAGCCGUGAUUCGUCGUUCAUUUGUUUAUAUUUAUUCAAUCGUUUGCGUUUUGCAAUGUUGUUGCGCCUGGCGAUGAUGAAAGGUUUCGCGAUAUUUAUUUUGUUCAUUGCAGAUUGAUUCAACUGGCUGAAUCUUUCUUUUGUUUAAUCUUUCAAACAUCACAUGAUUAGUAUAGGCGAUGUUGUUUACCGACUUGACUUCUGUGUAACUUGAUCAUCUACGCUAUGCCUUUCUUAUUCCACGAGUUUAUCUUUCGAUGUUGAACGAUGUCGAAUAAGCGAUGCUGGAUUAAACGAAGCUUCUGUUUAGUUUCAUUUGAUGUUUCCAUUAUUCUCGAUUAUUAUUGUUGUUGAUAAUUUUCUCACUGCUUUCUUAUCCCGUGGUUCUGUAUACUUAUAAAUUGACAGUUUACGAUAUUAAGAAUUGGGAGGACUUUCAUAUGUUUAAUAUAAUUACAAUACAAUUUCGAUGUAGUAGGUGCAUGAUCUAAUCAGGUUCAAUAGGACUAUUGGGUUGACAACUAAGUGUCACUUAUCACGCAAUUACUUAUUUGCAGAUCACUUAACCUCAACCUAACCUCAAUACGUAGAACGUAGCAGAAAGGAAGAAACUUGUAGAUGUUUAAAAUCUCUCAAUUAUAUGAUAUUUGCCACGCGACUAUUUAUGCCUUUAAUACAGCCCAAGGUCGGUACUCUAUCAACAUCAUCAAGCGAGUGAAACUUCUAACCCUAAUUCACUUCCAACCUUCAUUACCACCUAGUGACAAACUCCGCAAUCACAUAGUUGCCAACUUAAUACUUUUAUGUACUUUUACUUUUACUACACUGAUAUAAGAAUAAAAAGAUCUAUGUACUCUCUUUCACUAAGAAUACAUCAAUCAUUCAAUGCAAUUGAACCUGCAUACUGAAUCGAUCAUUUAUGACAGUCCGCAAAAUUCUCAAGUAAUUCUAUAAAUUUUGUCCAUCUGGUAUCAUCGUUAAAAGCAAACGAUACCAAAUUUCUGAUUGCUGUCUGAUGAAGCAAAGCCGUGCGCUUGAAGUCACUUCGAUGUUAGGGAAAUAUCAGAUGAAAGAGGCGCGAACCGUAAUAUGGUGAAAGUUGGCAUAACUGAUGGAAGGAAGCGGACGAGAGCGGAAGUUAGUGGAAAAACCAAUGAAUGGAAGGAUUUAAUCGCGCGAUCUAGUUUCGUAGGCGAAGUGAAGUUGUUCGUGUUUCGAUGCCAGGUACAGCUGACGCUGACAAUUUAUCGAGCCGGUAGCACCGAUUCGAAUACGCUCUCGGGUUAUUUCGUCUGCAAGUGUAAUAAAAAUGGAGAAAGAAGAAGGAAGUGAAGAGACGCGACAGAGACCUACCGAUACCGAUUCCUCUCCAUUUAGUCUUAUUUCUUCUCCAUUUUCGACUCGGUGCUCACUUUAAAGCGCUGUCUCCGCGCGCCAAUUGCCAACACCUUUCUGCAGACUGCGCUCCGGGUUCUUUCGUUUGCAAGUCUAAUAAAAAACGAGAAAGAAGGAGAAGAAGAAGGAGUAGAAGAAGAAGAAAAGAUACGGAGAGAAAGAAAGGACGACAAGGGGAGACUUACGGUCCUCGUGGAAUACAGAGGAAACGCGGCGCGUAAAUAGAGCGAAUAAAAGAGGUCGAGUUGAAAUGGGGCUGAAAAUUUGUAAAGAUGAGGAAAAGGGUUUUUUUCGAGUUAAUGAAGGAAUUGUACAGUGGAAUUCAUGUCAUUUUAACGAACGACCAAUUUCAAGAGGAACCGAUUAUUUCUUCGUUAGUCAUUAAACUAUACAUUGUGUUGAUUUUCACCAGUCAGCUGCUUGCUACUCCAUUGCAUCGAUAAAAUAGAAAUUUUCUACCGGACAAACGAGCUCAGGUUAUUGGUAAUCGCCUGGUAAAUAAAAAAUCGUUGAUUCACACCGCCUCGUCAUAGAAUACCUUGGCUAUCGCGUGAGAGGACGAUUUUGCAAUCGCAGGAAUAUUAUUUGGCGAGCCCGUGCUAUCAUUAGCGAGCAAUUCAUCGUGUCGUGACAGGAAAAUUGACCGUCCAAACACGGAGAAUCGAUAUUCCAUUACGGAGGAUCGGUGGUUGGCCAGAGAGAGGCUGCGAUAAGAGUUCAACUAUGGCGAGCGGGCGUCGCUUUGAAGAUAGAAGAUGAUAAAAACGUCUGGAAAAUAUUUCUACUACUAAAAUAUCACAACAGACAGAAAGAAAAUAUACCUGUAAAUCGGUGUGCAAUCUAGUGAUCUAAUUACAAACUUGAAGCAAUUACUUAUCAAUUACCGACUGUUCAUAAAAAGGCUAAUUUUCAGGAAGCUGGUUCCAUCAUUCCCCGGGCAGCUUUUUCAACUUCGUUUUCGAGUCAGCUUUUAUCGCGUUUCAACGAGAAACAACGCUACAAUUAGCAGUCGCUAAUUACCAACCGAUUAAUGACAAUACGAGCACAUAUACAAGCGAAUAUUCGCGUUUACCAAUCGAUCCACGGAUUUAUCUAACAGAGAUCUCGAUAUCCAGAAAUUUCGUUCUCACGUUCUUUUGCCUUUUCUGCUUGUCCCUUGCACCUGGCUUCGUCUCCAACGGAAAAAAACCGCGGAGUAAUUAAUCGUUAACGAGCAAUAAUUAAUGACAAUAGGAAGUAUUGGUUCACAAGUGUCGUCCUCGAGUAACGAACGAUUGCUAAUUAAUGUUCAGCGUGGAGGAGUAUUGCCAUCAAGUUUCAAGAAGGCUUGUCAGUCUCGUGUGGCAUUUUCGCGGUAAGAGGGUAAUACUGACGAACAGUUGUUGGAAUUUAGACGAUGAAACGAGCGAUAAUUAUAAACGAAGCAAGUUUCUUCGUAUGAAUAUCGAAUGGAUGUGUUGUAGGCUGUUUUACAUUUGUAGUUUAACACUUUACCGACCAAUAGCCGAUUAAUCGGUAAUAAAUCGCUUACCGACCGAUAUUAAUGCUCAUUAUUUCAGCAGUAAUUUGUUAUUUAGUAUUAUAGUAUCUUGCUCAGUUGCGUCAGUUGCGUUGCUUUGUAAGCUCUCACAGUUUUAUACCACUUUGAAAAACGUAUCGUUCGCGAAGAGCAAAAAAAAUGGUAUUGGAAUGUCUAAACCGAAACAGAGCCGGCGCCAGGGAGAAUCUGCGCCUGAGAUGCCGAUCGGACGUGCGUAUGUUGUUGAAUCGCCAGCGGUCGGUAAAUUGUUAAGAUUAACAUCGAUUUAAGAUAAUUGAUUGUAUCCAAAAGAUACAAUUUAUGGAUGGAAAAAUGUAUAUACAAAUAAUGUCACAAGGACGCGGUAAAGUAGCUUUUUUAAGUCGUACGUUAAAAGUAUUAUAAUACCGACUUCUAGGGAGAACAAUUUUCUGAAUACAUAGAAUGUAAUUUGCUAGAUUUCUGGCGCAAACAUAAUUCUGUGAACUAACAGGCUUAGAAUUAAUCCAGCGGGAUUGAAGAAAUGAAGGACAAUGAACUCGAAGUGAACUGAGUCUAUUUGAACAUUAUAACAUGUUGUUUCUACUUUUCUAACGAACUUCUACUUGACAAAGAAUUUCAAGGAAAUUAGUAACGACGAUUCUAAAAAACAAACUAAAAAUUGUAAUCAAAGGUGUUUCAAACAAAGAUUGCUAGGUGUAAAGAAAUAGUAUCAAAAUAGUAUCAAAAAGUAUAAAAAAUUUAUCAAAUUAUAAUCUAUAAUCAGAGAUGAAAUGAGCAAUUCUAAAGCAAGGGGUUAAAAAUGACUAUGGAUUCUUUUUAAUUAUUAUUCUCUUUAAUUAUUAUACUCUUAAUUAUUGUUGUGCUGAUUUAUUAAAAACAAUAGGACUCGCUUGGUAUGUAAGAUCUAUCUGCGACAACAUUUGUAAAACAAACAAAACAGAAAAAAACGUUAUCACUGUUAAAGUAGUGAUGUAGUUGCACACGAGAGUAGAAAAGUCAGAGAGAGUAGAAAAUUGGAAUCUGCGAGAGACCCACAUUAUUGUAUCUUUGAUGUAUGAUAUUGUUGAGGUUAAGUGAUAGAGGAACGAGUGGAUGAAGUGGAACAGUAAAGUAUAUUGAAACAAGUAUAGGUAUAAGUAUAGUGUAUGCUGAUGAAGAUCUGCACUCUUAUAGCGUUACAAUACAAUAAAAAGAAGAAUAAGGA